AGGCUUAACACAUGCAAGUCGAGGGGCAGCCGUGUUUGUAGCAAUACAACUGCCGGCGACCGGCGCACGGGUGAGUAACACGUAUGUAACCUGCCCUCUGCAGGGGGAUAAGCGGAAGAAAUUCCGUCUAAUACCGCAUAAUACAAUUUGGAGACAUCUCCGGGUUGUCAAAGGAGUGAUCCGGCAGAGGAUGGACAUGCGGCGCAUUAGCUAGUCGGCGGGGUAACGGCCCACCGAGGCUACGAUGCGUAGGGGUUCUGAGAGGAAGGUCCCCCACACUGGUACUGAGACACGGACCAGACUCCUACGGGAGGCAGCAGUGAGGAAUAUUGGUCAAUGGGCGGAAGCCUGAACCAGCCAAGUCGCGUGAGGGAAGACGGUCCUAUGGAUUGUAAACCUCUUUUGCAGGGGAGCAAGGCGCGGUACGUGUACCGCGAAGGAGAGUACCCUGAGAAAAAGCAUCGGCUAACUCCGUGCCAGCAGCCGCGGUAAUACGGAGGAUGCCAGCGUUAUCCGGAUUUAUUGGGUUUAAAGGGUGCGCAGGCGGACUGUUAAGUCAGCGGUAAAAUGUCGGUGCUCAACACCGGCCGGCCGUUGAAACUGGCAGCCUUGUGUGAGCGAGAAGUAUGCGGAAUGCGUGGUGUAGCGGUGAAAUGCAUAGAUAUCACGCAGAACUCCGAUUGCGAAGGCAGCAUACCGGCGCUCAACUGACGCUCAGGCACGAAAGCGUGGGUAUCGAACAGGCUUAGAUACCCUGGUAGUCCACGCAGUAAACGAUGAAUGCUCACUGUCCGGGCCGUUUAAGGCCUGGGUGGUCAAGCGAAAGCGUUAAGCAUUCCACCUGGGGAGUACGCCGGCAACGGUGAAACUCAAAGGAAUUGACGGGGGCCCGCACAAGCGGAGGAACAUGUGGUUUAAUUCGAUGAUACGCGAGGAACCUUACCCGGGCUCAAACGGAAGGGGACAGUAUGAGAAAUCAUACAUUCCUUCGGGACCGCUUCCGAGGUGCUGCAUGGUUGUCGUCAGCUCGUGCCGUGAGGUGUCGGCUUAAGUGCCAUAACGAGCGCAACCCCUAUCGACAGUUGCUAGCAGGUAAAGCUGAGGACUCUGUCGAGACUGCCGGCGCAAGCUGUGAGGAAGGCGGGGAUGACGUCAAAUCAGCACGGCCCUUACGUCCGGGGCGACACACGUGUUACAAUGGCAGGUACAGCGGGAAGCCACCCGGCGACGGGGCGCAGAACCCGAAAACCUGUCUCAGUUCGGAUUGGAGUCUGCAACCCGACUCCAUGAAGCUGGAUUCGCUAGUAAUCGAGGAUCAGCCACGGCGCGGUGAAUACGUUCCC
rnacentral:rRNA from 1 species